ACAUGUGUGCUAAGGGCCAUAUAGUGAGGCUAACGUUGCGAAUGGAGAUCGAUGUUGGCAUUUUCUUCGGUGAGAAACCUACAUCUAUCAUAAAAUAAUUGAACAAAAGGGUGCAAGAAAUAACACAAUAAGAAAGACUCCUGCCUUCCUCACUCACUGGUCUAAACCUCCAAACGAAAAACGAAAUGAACUUCCUCUAUAGGUCACUCCCCCUCCUCUGUCGCUCCAUCUCCUCGAAGAUCCCUUCUUCUCCCAGACCCCAUUUUCCUCCUUCUCCUCCUCUCUUCUCGAGGUCCAUCUCCAACCCUAACCCCACCGCUGGACUUAUCCCCAAUCCAUCCUUGUCAUGGCGCCGGUUCUGCAACCUCGAUCGACUCCAGCCCCAGCAAUGGCACCAUAACCGCCGCACCAUCCUCCAACCCCUCGCCGUUCUUCUUGGUGUCAUCGUUGGCGGCGGAGGCAUCAUCUAUUACCGCUAUUUUGAGACCGUCCCUUUCAGUAACAACUCCCGCUUGGUCAUCGUCUCUCCUUUGGCUGAGCGAGAUAUCAGCGAGAUCGAGUUUCAGAAGCUGAAGAACGGCCUCGAGGGCAGGAUCCUCCCCGGCAACCAUCCCGACACCAUCCGCGUCCGCCGCAUCUCCGAGAACAUCAUCGAAGCCAUUCAACCAUGUCUCAACCAUGACAAGCGGCAGUGGGGCAAUCUCAGUUACGCUUUUGAGAUCCAUGACAAGUGGCAGUGGGGAGAUCUCUGGUACGCUUGUGAGAUCCAAGCUCUUGAGCAGUCCCCGGAGACCACGAAGAAGGCGGCGGAGGCUGAGAGUUGGGAGGUGCUUGUGGUGAGCGAUAAAACUUUCUAUGCCUUUUGCCUUCCGUGUCGCAAGAUUGUGGUUUCCACCAGAGUUCUUGAUCAUCUCAGGACGGAUGCCGAGAUCGCCACUUUGCUUGGGCAUGAGGGAUUUUUAUUUGUUUCUUGGAGGUUGCCCAUGUUGUUGUUCGCCAUGGUGCGGAGAUUGCUACAAAAGGCUUGUGGAUGGAUAUUCAUUUCAGGCUAGGGGUGUUAAUGGGGCGGGGAAUCCCCGAUCCCCGUGGGGACCCGACCCGACGGGGAUGGGAAUUCCCUAAUCCCCUAUCUCCGCAGGGACCUGACUCGACGGGGAUGGGAAUUCCCCGAAUCCCUCCCCCAUGGGGGCGGGGACGGGGGCCAAUCCGUCCCCGUUUCCUAAAUGGGAAUGGGGACGGGGAAUGCUCUCCCCGCCCCGUGGGGAUCCCAACCCGAUUGAAAUAUAUAUAUAUAUAUAUAUUCUGUAUGUAUGUAUACUUUUUUCAACAUUAAAAAAUUCAAUGGCCUAGGUAAUAAUAUAAAAAACUCUAAUUUUAAUUUAAUUGUGCUAAUCAUAUAAACUAUUUAUUUUAAAUUAAUAACAAUUAAAAUUAGAUAUAAAAGCCCUUUGUUAAGUACUAGAGAAUCCCCGUGGGGAUCUCCACGGGGAGGAAAUCCCCGCGGGGAUGGAGAUGGGGAAGAGAAUUCCCCCAUCGGAGAAUCGGGGAUGGGGAAUCCCCGUCCCCGCCCCGCCCCGCCCGUUACCACCCCUAUUUCAGGCCACGUUUCUGUUGUCUUGGUCCUGAAAAAAUAGUGGAUGCUUUACUGCGGAAAGAGGACCUCUGCACAAGAAUGGAAAUGGAGGCAGAUCAUAUUGGCCUCUUGUUGAUGGCCUAUGCGGGAUAUGACCCAAGUGUCGCACCAAGGGUUUAUGAAAAACUUACAGGGAUCAAGUGGAAGACUUUAUGGCACUAUUCCUCAACUCGCCCUGCAAGCUUGGAAAGAACAGAACAGAUGGAAGCAGCACUGUCUGUGUACAGGGGUGUGUUUGCCAGUACUGUUUGUUUCUGAUUUCCUUAUUAAUUGGGCAUGUAAAUCGACUUUUCUUUAGUAUCUUCAUGUUUUUAUGGAGUAAGAUUUUUAAGUUAUAUCACUUAAUCUAUUUUCAGAAGAAA